rnacentral:rRNA from 1 species
GUGCACCAGUCGCGAAUCCUUCGCAAUGCGGGAAACCGCGACGAGGGGACUCCCAGUGCCUACGCUCAGCGUAGGCUGUUCCCGAGCCUAGAAAGCUCGGGGAGUAAGGGCUGGGUAAGACGGGUGCCAGCCGCCGCGGUAAUACCCGCAGCCCGAGUGGUGGCCACUAUUAUUGGGCCUAAAGCGUCCGUAGCCGGCCCGGUAAAUGCCUGGGUAAAUCGUGAGGCCUAACCUCACGAAUUCCGGGUAGACUGCCGGGCUAGGGACCGGAGGAGGGAGAGGGUACUCCAGGGGUAGGGGUGAAAUCCUGUAAUCCCUGGAGGACCACCGGUGGCGAAGGCGCUCUCCUAGGACGGGUCCGACGGUGAGGGACGAAAGCCAGGGGAGCGAACCGGAUUAGAUACCCGCGUAGU